rnacentral:rRNA from 1 species
CCUACGGGAGGCAGCAGUGAGGAAUAUUGGUCAAUGGGCGGAAGCCUGAACCAGCCAAGUAGCGUGCGGGAUGAAGGCCCUACGGGUCGUAAACCGCUUUUGCACGGGGAUAACACCCUCCACUUGUGGAGGUCUGCAGGUACCGUGCGAAUAAGGGCCGGCUAAUUCCGUGCCAGCAGCCGCGGUAAUACGGGGGAUGCGAGCGUUAUCCGGAUUUAUUGGGUUUAAAGGGUGCGUAGGCGGCGCUUCAUGUCAGAGGUGAAAUACCGGGGCGCAACCCCGGGGCUGCCGUUGAAACCGGAGCGCUAGAGGUCCGGUGCCGUCGGCGGAAUGUGUGGUGUAGCGGUGAAAUGCAUAGAUAUCACGCAGAACACCGAUUGCGAAGGCAUCUGACGGAUCGGAGAUUGACGCUGAUGCACGAAAGCGUGGGUAUCGAACAGGAUUAGAUACCCGGGUAGUC